rnacentral:lncRNA from 1 species
CGUGGCUCUGUUGCUAUGGUAGUAAGAACAUGCUUUCGUUCUUCCAUAGGUGUUUGCAUGGGGACAUAUGUGGCUGUUUCCAUGGCAACAAGGUGCCUUAUCUCUUAGUGGAGCAGGAGUACAUAAGAAAAAAAGGCUUGAAUGAGUCCGAAGAGGGGGAAAUUGAAAGUGAAACUGGGCACUUCCAAAGCUAUGAUGCUGUGAGGCAAAGAAAAAGAGCCAUUUUGUAUUUGUAAAGGAUUUCAUGGAAAGGCACAGAGAACUACCUAGAAUGAGAAGGCCGGAAGGAAUUGAGGGAGCAUCACCCCUCCCUCCAUGAUCAAAAAUCACAAAUCCGUCAAAGCAACAUACCUGGCUGUAUUUCUAUUCUAAGCCUGUAUCACAUCUCAGGGUAAAUAUAUUACCUGCUGUGUGAAGAAGGGCCUCCUGUUAUUUGUCCUACAUUUAAUUAUCUCAAUGUAUGUUAUUUUCAGCUU